rnacentral:rRNA from 1 species
AUGGUGAGAUUUAGGGGGUGGCGUGAGCAGGUUCUCCUUCGUAUUUCCCCACGUCUUCUCCCUUUGUUUACUCUUCCCCUUCCACCCCUGGCGGAUCCCGCCGUGCCGUACCUUAGCGUCGCCGCCGCCGCCGCCCCUCAAUCUCCUCCCACCCACCAACUCUGGGGACGCGCGUCGGCGCCGCCGCCGCCAUCGCCGUUCCCCUUCUUCGUCGACUCCCAGAACAUCGCGCCAGGGCUGUCCUGCUACCGUCUCCCUCCUUUCGAGGAUGCUAUAACCGAUAUAGCAUUUGGAGAAGGGCCACACUAUUUUUUACAUUGA